CCCUUAGAUGCUCUGGGCCGCACGCGCGCUACACUGGUCGAUGCAACGAGUUUCUUUCCUUGGCCGACAGGCCUGGGCAAUCUUUGAACAUCGAUCGUGAUCGGGAUAGAUUCUUGUAAUUUUUGAUCUUAAACGAGGAAUUCCUAGUAAACGCAAGUCAUCAGCUUGCAUUGAUUACGUCCCUGCCCUUUGUACACACCGCCCGUCGCACCUACCGAUUGAAUGGUCCGGUGAAAUCUCCGGACUGGCGUGAGUCGGAGCAAUCUGACAAACGCUGGAAAGUUGAUUAAACCUUACCAUUUAGAGGAAGGUGAAGUCGUAACA
rnacentral:rRNA from 1 species